GAUGAACGCUGGCGGCGUGCCUAAUACAUGCAAGUCGAGCGAACAGACGAGGAGCUUGCUCCUCUGACGUUAGCGGCGGACGUGUGAGUAACACGUGGAUAACCUACCUAUAAGACUGGGAUAACUUCGGGAAACCGGUGCUAAUACCGGAUAAUAUCUUGAACCGCAUGGUUCAAUAGUGAAAGACGGUUUUGCUGUCACUUAUAGAUGUAUCCGCGCCGCAUUAGCUAGUUGGUAAGGUAACGGCUUACCAAGGCAACGAUGCGUAGCCGACCUGAGAGGGGGUAGGGGCACACUGGAGCUGAGACACGGUCCAGAGUCCGACGGGAGGCAGCAGUAGGGAAUCUUCCGAAAUGGGCGAAAGCUUGACGGAGGAACGCCGCGUGAGUGAUGAAGGUCUUCGGAUCGUAAAACUCUGUUAUUAGGGAAAAACAAAUGUGUAAGUAACUAUGCACGUCUUGACGGUACCUAAUCAGAAAGCCACGGCUAACUACGUG
rnacentral:rRNA from 1 species